UACGGAGGGUGCUAGCGUUGUUCGGAAUUACUGGGCGUAAAGGGCGCGUAGGCGGCCGUUUGCGUCGGAUGUGAAAGCCCGGGGCUCAACCUCGGAACGGCAUUCGAUACGGGACGGCUGGAGACCGGGAGAGGAGAGUGGAAUAGCCAGUGUAGAGGUGAAAUUCGUAGAUAUUGGCUGGAACACCGGUGGCGAAAGCGGCUCUCUGGCCCGGUUCUGACGCUGAGGCGCGAAAGCGUGGGGAGCAAAUGGG
rnacentral:rRNA from 1 species